UACGGGGGGAGCAAGCGUUGUUCGGAUUUACUGGGCGUAAAGGGCGCGUAGGCGGUCAGCACAAGUCAGUUGUGAAAUCUCCGGGCUUAACUCGGAAAGGUCAACUGAUACUGUGCGACUAGAGUGCGGAAGGGGCAACUGGAAUUCUCGGUGUAGCGGUGAAAUGCGUAGAUAUCGAGAGGAACACCUGCGGCGAAGGCGGCGAUCUGGACGAUGACUGACGCUGAGACGCGAAAGCGUGGGGAGCAAACAGG
rnacentral:rRNA from 1 species